UUAAAGUUGAUGACAAUGUUGAUCUGCAACUUGAUGAUUUGAUUCAACUUAUACAAAGCCGCCAUGGUCAGGAUAGUGCUUAUAUUGGUUGCAUGAAGUCUGGGGAAGUAGUAGCUGAAGAGGGAAUGCAAUGGUAUGAGCCUGAAUGGUGGAAAUUUGGUGAUCAGAAAUCGUAUUUCCGUCAUGCAGCUGGUUCUAUCUUCAUACUCUCAAAAAAUUUAGCUAAGUACAUACAUAUCAAUAGUGCAUCCUUGAAGGUUUAUGCUCACGAGGAUGUAUCCGUGGGGUCAUGGAUGAUGCGUCUUCGCGCAACGUAACCUAUAUAGAUGACAGCCGUAUGUGCUGUAGUUACUCAAGCCAAGACAAGAUCUGCUCGUUGGCUUGAAGUUACAGUGAGACGAGCCUUUGCAGCAGCGCUACUGUUGGGAUACAUUUUGUGCAGAGAAACAGAGGAACUCAUGGAUCUUUAGUUAGUACCAUUCUUAUUUUUUGUUAGCUGCCGCAGCUGCCAAGAAUGUCGGUUU